rnacentral:rRNA from 1 species
GCCAAGCCGCGUGAGGGAGGAAGGUACAGAGUAUCGUAAACCUCUUUUGUCAGGGAACAAAGAGUGGGACGCGUCCCCGGAUGAGUGUACCUGAAGAAAAAGCAUCGGCUAACUCCGUGCCAGCAGCCGCGGUAAUACGGAGGAUGCGAGCGUUAUCCGGAUUUAUUGGGUUUAAAGGGUGCGCAGGCGGUCUGUUAAGUCAGCGGUCAAAGCCCGGGGCUCAACCCCGGCCCGCCGUUGAAACUGGCAGUCUCGAGUUGGAGAGAAGUAUGCGGAAUGCGCGGUGUAGCGGUGAAAUGCAUAGAUAUCGCGCAGAACUCCGAUUGCGAAGGCAGCAUGCCGGCUCCACACUGACGCUGAGGCACGAAAGCGUGGGUAUCGAACAGGAUUAGAUACCCUGGUAGUCCGCGCAGUAAACGAUGAAUGCUGGCUGUCCGGGGGGACUGACCCCUGGGUGG